GCACGGCUAGCUCAGUUGGUAGAGCAUGAGACUCUUAAUCUCAAGGUCGUGGGUUCGAGCCCCACGUUGGACG
rnacentral:tRNA from 2 species